UCUACUAUAGCUGAGUAUUCUCUUACUCAGUUACAAUGCUGGAGCUGCAGAUGUUAGCAGUCUCUGUCAAUCAUGACAUCACUCAAAGAAUCGGUCAACUUCUCCAGGAGUCAGCAUCAUUAUGCUGAUCGUGUACAGGUUUUAUGUUAAGAAUAAGCAGUAUCCUCCGGUGUUGAAAAAUGAAGCCGAUGCUGGAGUGUAAAAUCCUGCAGUUCCUGGAGUGUCCACUAGAGGCUGGCUGCAGAAGCACAGGAAGUCACAUACACACCCAUUCUAAAAAGUCUGUUUUUACAGCAGAGAUUAACAUGUUUACAGCCUGGUUCAAAAAAACAAAUAGGUGUGAUUAUCUCAUGUCUCGAUCGACACACACUGUACGGGGGGUGAAUGUUUUGAUGACUCAUCAGUUUUGAUUUGAUGAAGAAUAAGAGUUAUUCACAAUAAGGCGUGUAGCUGACCUGAUUGACAGGUGGGCGUGGUGUAACGGUUUGUCAGGAGGUUUAAAACCCGCCUCAGCUCCAGCUCUCACUCUCAGCCUGUGGGUGACAUCACUCAGGCCAUCCGGGGGAGACCUCCCUUGCAGCGAGUUAUUGAAGAGAAGCAACCAAAGUCCACCCCAGAAGAACCAACAAAUACAGAUGUUGUUGAGGCUCAGGUUUCUUCCUCUGUCUCUGCAGCUCUCUGGGCACCUCGACAGACAAGUCACCAAUAAUCCACACUGUGUCUAUAGGAGAAAUACAAAGGUGUUCAAUUAAUGCCUCAGACAAGACAAAAUGUACAGUUAACUACAUGUGACAGCUCAGGGUGUUUUUUUGUUAUUAGCCACAUCUGCAGGAAUAAUAUUGAACAAGGUAGCUGCAACUCAUAAUAAUAGAUGCCAGUCUUAAACACUAUUUUUUCUAAUACUUAAAGUUUUUGGUGUGAAGCUGA